UGAGGAAUAUUGGACAAUGGGCGCAAGCCUGAUCCAGCCAUGCCGCGUGCAGGAAGACGGCCCUAUGGGUUGUAAACUGCUUUUAUACGGGAAGAAACACCCCCUCGUGAGGGGGCUUGACGGUACCGUAAGAAUAAGGAUCGGCUAACUCCGUGCCAGCAGCCGCGGUAAUACGGAGGAUCCAAGCGUUAUCCGGAAUCAUUGGGUUUAAAGGGUCCGUAGGUGGACAAUUAAGUCAGGGGUGAAAGUCUGCAGCUCAACUGUAGAAUUGCCCUUGAUACUGGUUGUCUUGAAUCAUUGUGAAGUGGUUAGAAUAUGUAGUGUAGCGGUGAAAUGCAUAGAUAUUACAUAGAAUACCAAUUGCGAAGGCAGAUCACUAACAAUGUAUUGACACUGAUGGACGAAAGCGUGGGUAGCGAACAGG
rnacentral:rRNA from 2 species